AUCAUUGCAAAAUUUGGUCGCCAUUUUGUAUGGUUCCAAAGAUUUCAUAGAUUUUUCUUUGUAGAAUUCUUCAGAUCCUUAUAUAUAAUUCUCCAAUAACCAUCGUCUUGGCCGUAUCUCCCAUGGGUAUUAUAUAUGUAGCUCCUUUGAACGUCUUCGAAUGCCAACCUGAUGCAUCCAUACCCGAUAGGCGUCUUUGUUCUCGUUCGCAAUGGAAGGCUUUUUCUUAUCGACGGUCUUACUGGCGUUUUAAAAAAUGAAUACGAUAGGUUGCUGUAACAUCUUGUGCAUGUACGAUAGGCUAUAAACCGCAAUAACAAAAGAAACUAUCUUACAAGGUGCAAUAUGCUUGGACGUAAACACAAGGGAGUUGAAUGUAUAAGAUGAAUCAAGAUAAAGAUGAUUCUGGAUUGGCUGAAGUAUGUAGGUCCCCUCAUAAUCAAAUAUGAAAGCAUAAGGUUUUGAAUUGUCAUUAUGAAUGACUUCACUUUCAUCAAUAUUUAAUCCAUUAAUGUGUUUACAAUGAGCAAUUAUUGAUGAGGUGGAGCAUGAUAUUGUAAAUUAUCAAAACCGAGACUGUGUUAUAUGCCAUAGCCAAAGGCUGCAUGCAUGCAUCAUCAUCAUCAUCAUCUUUGAGGGUCUUCAAGUUCCAGUGUAUUCACUGACUUGUCAAGACUGUUUUAAAGACUGUACUAAUUUUUUUGUCUUUCCACUUGUUUGUUUCUUUUUUAUUUCAUUUCUGAGGUUAAGAUAUUUAACAAUUACUCACUGAAGGCAAAGUGACUAUCAGUGGAGUAUUUACAGUGGAGCAAAAUAUUCACCAUAAUCACUGUGAUCCUGAGACUUGAAUAGGAGAAAAAAAUUGAAAUUCAGGAUAAAAAUAUGUUUUAGUAUUGCUUCCAAUCUGGCAAACUUUGGAAAACUUUAUAAUGACUGCUGGUGCAGUGAUACCAUCUCAGAAUCAGUGUUUGCUUGACCAUGAUCACAACAAGAAACUCUGUUGUGCAUAAUGCAUGUACUAGAUAAUAAGACUAAGUAAGUAAGACAAUGAACUUGAGUGUGUUAUGGGAUAUAGCUAGAGUCCCUAACAUUAGAUAGAAAACCACAUGGGCUCCACCCUUGCGGCUUUCUAUCUAAUGUGAGGGACUCUAUAUCUCAUAAAACACUCAAGUUCAUAACUAUCUUAGAGAUAUAUGAUCACACUUUUUGUUUGUUCCUCUCCCAAAAAAUAUAAAUCUAAUAAGCUUUGGAAUAAAAGUAAAGAUAUGAUAUAAAAUGAGAAUAACAAUGGCAGUUUUAACAUCAUGAUGAUGAUAAUAAUAAUAAUAAUAAUAAUAAUAAUAAUGUACUUUUAUAGUGCACUUCAAAUAUCUCAAUGUGCUUUACAUUCAUAAGUGGAGGACUUUACAGGCUGCGUAUUAAGGUGCCAUGUCAGCUGUGCAGCUUACAAUCAUCAGUGUGAACUGUUAGUAGAUUAGUAUUAUGCCUCCAAAUUGGGAUAGGCUGUUGAGCCAGAAGACAAUCCCCCACUCUUACACCAAUAAUUCAACAGGUUCUUUUAUGUCCCCCAUGAACAUGACUAAAGAGAUGCAAGGGCUAAUUAAGGUUUCUGUCAAUAAAAUUUCAGGAAAKAACAAAAUUAUUUUAAGUUAACACUUUUUAACAAUAUAUGAUACAAAGUCUGAUAAAAUUUUUAUAUAGCUGCAA